rnacentral:rRNA from 1 species
GACGAACGCUGGCUGCGUGCUUAACACAUGCAAGUCGAACGCUGAAGCUCUGGUGCUUGCACCGGGGUGGAUGAGUGGCGAACGGGUGAGUAACACGUGAGUAACCUGCCCCUGACUUCGGGAUAAGCCCGGGAAACUGGGUCUAAUACCGAAUAUGACCGUUCCUCGCAUGAGGGAUGGUGGAAAGUUUUUUCGGUUGGGGAUGGGCUCGCGGCCUAUCAGCUAGAUGGUGGGGUAAUGGCCCACCAUGGCGACGACGGGUAGCCGGCCUGAGAGGGCGACCGGCCACACUGGGACUGAGACACGGCCCAGACUCCUACGGGAGGCAGCAGUGGGGAAUAUUGCACAAUGGGGGAAACCCUGAUGCAGCGACGCAGCGUGCGGGAUGACGGCCUUCGGGUUGUAAACCGCUUUCAGCAGGGAAGAAGCCCCUUGGGGUGACGGUACCUGCAGAAGAAGUACCGGCUAACUACGUGCCAGCAGCCGCGGUAAUACGUAGGGUACGAGCGUUGUCCGGAAUUAUUGGGCGUAAAGAGCUCGUAGGUGGUUGGUCACGUCUGCUGUGGAAACGCAACGCUUAACGUUGCGCGUGCAGUGGGUACGGGCUGACUAGAGUGCAGUAGGGGAGUCUGGAAUUCCUGGUGUAGCGGUGAAAUGCGCAGAUAUCAGGAGGAACACCGGUGGCGAAGGCGGGACUCUGGGCUGUAACUGACACUGAGGAUCGAAAGCAUGGGGAGCGAACAGGAUUAGAUACCCUGGUAGUCCAUGCCGUAAACGUUGGGCACUAGGUGUGGGGGACAUUCCACGUUCUCCGCGCCGUAGCUAACGCAUUAAGUGCCCCGCCUGGGGAGUACGGUCGCAAGGCUAAAACUCAAAGGAAUUGACGGGGGCCCGCACAAGCGGCGGAGCAUGCGGAUUAAUUCGAUGCAACGCGAAGAACCUUACCAAGGCUUGACAUACACCAGACCGGGCUGGAAACAGUCCUUCCCCUUUGGGGUUGGUGUACAGGUGGUGCAUGGUUGUCGUCAGCUCGUGUCGUGAGAUGUUGGGUUAAGUCCCGCAACGAGCGCAACCCUCGUUCUAUGUUGCCAGCACGUGAUGGUGGGAACUCAUAGGAGACUGCCGGGGUCAACUCGGAGGAAGGUGGGGAUGACGUCAAAUCAUCAUGCCCUUUAUGUCUUGGGCUUCACGCAUGCUACAAUGGCUGGUACAGAGAGAUGCGAGACCGUGAGGUUUUAGCGAAUCCCUUAAAGCCAGUCUCAGUUCGGAUCGUAGUCUGCAAUUCGACUACGUGAAGUCGGAGUCGCUAGUAAUCGCAGAUCAGCAACGCUGCGGUGAAUACGUUCCCGGGCCU